rnacentral:lncRNA from 1 species
UCGUGAAGCUGAAAGCGAUGAAGAUGGAGACCAAGGAAGCUCGAUCCGGUGUUCUCGGUUCAAGCCACGACCUUCCAGCCCGAGCAUGACAAAUCGAUCGAUGUACCUGAGCCUCAUUCCGUAUGUCUCCAAUCGAGCGAUGGAGAGGUGAUGGUGGCGAGCAGAGAUGGCACACGACGGCUCCAUUCAAGAAAGCCGUUAGUGAAAGAGACGAGACGCAACGAAGCUGUAGGUGAGGCGCAGACAUGGCAGACACGAGAAGAAGCUCCAGCUGAUUUGCGCUAAACGCGCGUUUGAAAACGCAGCCGCAGAAAAAUAGCGUUUGCGUUUGACAUUUGACCUAAUUUUUAAGGGCCUAUAUAUGUGUGUGUUAAGGCCGAAGACAUUAUCUACCUUUUAUCUUAUCUUCUAAACAUUAUUUUUUUUCCUUAGUUUGUUGCAGAUUUUAUAGACAGAAAGUUUUUCUUUGAGAGAAAUCUCUUGAACUCUGUUGUUGUUUGUAUAUAAUCAUGUUUUAUUUCUCUUUAUUUUCUUCAAUAUCCGCAAUUGGGUUCUAGGGUUCCUAAGGGGAUCUCACGGUUGGUAGAUUAGGAUUGUUAUCUUCGGGAAUUUAUCUUAUGAUUCUUCGUCUAUAGUUGUUUUUAUUGCUUGAACUUGACUAGCUACCUAGUUCAUGAACUUAGGUUGUUUCAUGUUCUAGAGGUGUUCGAUGAAAGGUGUGAAAGAACUUAGAUGAGCAAAGUAACCUAACCAACGAGAGUUGAUGUUAGGGAGCUUUUUGAACAUACGAGAACUUAUUUAUUAAUGCAUGUUUAGCAUCCUAAGUUCAAGUAGAGUUAGUUCAUUGGGUUGUUAAAUAUAGUAAUCGGAUCCACGAGAGUGGAAAAAUUAUAAAGUUGUGUUCUGAGUUCGAGACUUUGCUUAAUUAUUUCCCUCGCAAUCCAUCUUGAUCUGCUUGCCUGAACCCC